rnacentral:lncRNA from 1 species
GGCUAAGUAUCCAAGCCUAAGAUCAAGUUACUAAGCCCAAGGCUGAGCCAUAAAGCUUAAGGCCAACCUACUAAGCCUGAGGUUGAGGUGAAGAUAUAGGCUGAGGUGAGAAGUCCAUAGUCAAGCAACCAAACUGUUGCCCAAAAAGAAAACCUAAGAGGAGGGGGUGAAUUGGAUUUUUCAAAAUUUAUACAAGUAGUGUGCUGUUUUAAAGACUAGUGAAGUGUUGAUGAGUGCAAAAUUCAAGUAUGCAGAAAUAUAAAAUACAAGAAAAGCUAGAAAGAAGAACACAAGCACAAACACACAUGAUAUAUAGUGGUUCAGUGUCCUUUACACCUAUGUCUACUCUCCA